GUUUCACAGAGACUGUGAGGAAUCGUCAUAUAAUAACCACAAAAAUAAGAGCAACCAUGGCGUUCAGACUCCAGGUCAAUCAAGCAAACAUGAGUGACGCAAUGCAACGGGAGGCUCUGGAGUGCUCACUUCUGGCUUUAUCUACGAAUUUGGACAUCGCUACCUAUGUGAAACAGGUAUUUGAGGAAAGGCACGGAGGAUACUGGAACUGCAUUGCAGGGCUUUCUUUUCGUUUCCACCUAGGACAAGUAGACGCAUGUUAUGUACACUUCACUCUUCACAAUACGAGUAUUCUGCUCUUCAAGACUGGCUGAGAGACAGCAACUGUUCAAAGAAGGAUCAGUGCUCAGGGUUUCUUACAUAUAUAUUGCAGUAGCAUUGUGAGAAGCAAUUUCAUCUUUAAAAAAAAAAAAGGGGUUAUUCAAUAUGUAACUCGUAUUUAGUCAAUGGAAUACAAGCUGAGAUUACUUAAACAGCCAAGUAGAUACCUAUAAAUGUAAAGCAGCUAUUAGCUGUGGGAAUAUUAGCUUUUUAAGCUUUUUAAAAUCCUACAAUGAUCCUACCUUUCCCCUGGUUUUAAAAUUGAGGAUUAAAAUAUAAUUGUUUAUGGCAUCACAUGGAUUUAGUUUCAGUUCAAACUGUGUCAAUGCUGCAUAUCAUAAGAUGCCUAUUUUACAGAUGUUGACCAAAUAAAACAUGUUUUACUGUGGGGUUAGAAUUGCUUCUUUAUUCCAAAUAAAUAAAUUAUGAUCCACUAAUAAAUGUAAAGA